rnacentral:rRNA from 1 species
GACGAACGCUGGCGGCGUGCCUAACACAUGCAAGUCGAGCGGAGCGGCGAACGGGUGAGUAACGAGUGAGUAACUGCCCCCCUCUCUGGGAUAACAGUUGGAAACGGCGGCUAAUACCGGAUAGUGGGGGAUGACUCGCGUCCUAUCAGCUUGUUGGUGGGGUAGUGGCUUACCAAGGCGACGACGGGUAGCCGGCCUGAGAGGGCGACCGGCCACCUUGGGCUGAGAUACUGCCCAAACUGCUACGGGACGCAGCGGUGGGGAAUAGUGCACAAUGGGGGAAAGCCAGAUGCAGCGACGCCGCGGGCGGGAUGACGGCCUUCGGGUUGUGAACCGCUUUCAGCCAUGACGCGGUAGUGGCAGAAGAAGCACCGGCUAACUACGUGCCAGCAGCCGCGGUAAUAC